UACGUAGGUGGCAAGCGUUGUCCGGAUUUAUUGGGCGUAAAGCGAGCGCAGGCGGUUUCUUAAGUCUGAUGUGAAAGCCCCCGGCUCAACCGGGGAGGGUCAUUGGAAACUGGGAGACUUGAGUGCAGAAGAGGAGAGUGGAAUUCCAUGUGUAGUGGUGAAAUGCGUAGAUAUAUGGAGGAACACCAGUGGCGAAGGCGGCUCUCUGGUCUGUAACUGACGCUGAGGCUCGAAAGCGUGGGGAGCGAACAGG
rnacentral:rRNA from 1 species